GACGAACGCUGGCGGCGUGCUUAGCGCAUGCAAGUCGAACGGAAAGGCCCUGCUUUUGUGGGGUGCUCGAGUGGCGAACGGGUGAGUAACACGUGAGUAACCUGCCCUUGACUUUGGGAUAACUUCAGGAAACUGGGGCUAAUACCGGAUAGGAGCUCCUGCUGCAUGGUGGGGGUUGGAAAGUUUCGGCGGUUGGGGAUGGACUCGCGGCUUAUCAGCUUGUUGGUGGGGUAGUGGCUUACCAAGGCUUUGACGGGUAGCCGGCCUGAGAGGGUGACCGGCCACAUUGGGACUGAGAUACGGCCCAGACUCCUACGGGAGGCAGCAGUGGGGAAUAUUGCACAAUGGGCGGAAGCCUGAUGCAGCAACGCCGCGUGCGGGAUGACGGCCUUCGGGUUGUAAACCGCUUUCGCCUGUGACGAAGCGUGAGUGACGGUAAUGGGUAAAGAAGCACCGGCUAACUACGUG
rnacentral:rRNA from 1 species